UUUCCGUAGGUGAACCUGCGGAAGGAUCAUUCAUAAUAAGUGUUUUAUGGCACUUUUUAAAUCCAUAUCCACCUUGUGUGCAAUGUCAGGGUUGAUUUUUCUCUCGAGAGGAUCAGCCCCAAACAUCAACUAUAUCUCAACUCUUUGUCUGAAAAAUAUUAUGAAUAAAACAUUUCAAAAUACAACUUUCAACAACGGAUCUCUUGGCUCUC
rnacentral:misc_RNA from 1 species